AUUGAACGCUAGCGGGAUGCUUUACACAUGCAAGUCGAACGGCAGCGCGGACUUCGGUCUGGCGGCGAGUGGCGAACGGGUGAGUAAUGUAUCGGAACGUGGCCAGUAGCGGGGGAUAACUACGCGAAAGCGUAGCUAAUACCGCAUACGCCCUACGGGGGAAAGCAGGGGAUCGUAAGACCUUGCACUAUUGGAGCGGCCGAUAUCGGAUUAGCUAGUUGGUGAGGUAACGGCUCACCAAGGCGACGAUCCGUAGCUGGUUUGAGAGGACGACCAGCCACACUGGGACUGAGACACGGCCCAGACUCCUACGGGAGGCAGCAGUGGGGAAUUUUGGACAAUGGGGGCAACCUUGAUCCAGCCAUCCCGCGUGUGCGAUGAAGGCCUUCGGGUUGUAAAGCACUUUUGGCAGGAAAGAAACGUCGCGGGCUAAUACCCCGUGGAACUGACGGUACCUGCAGAAUAAGCACCGGCUAACUACGUG
rnacentral:rRNA from 1 species